rnacentral:rRNA from 1 species
CAAUCCAUGAGUAUCGUGGCGACCGGGUGAGUAACACGUGACUAACCUACCUUCGAGUGGGGGAUAACCUAGGGAAACCUGGGCUAAUACCGCAUAACAUCUUUGGAGUGGAAACUCUGGAGAUCAAAGGAGCAAUUCGCUUGAAGAGGGGGUCGCGGCUGAUUAGCUAGUUGGCGGGGUAAUGGCCCACCAAGGCUUUGAUCGGUAGCCGGCCUGAGAGGGCGCACGGCCACACUGGAACUGAAACACGGUCCAGACUCCUACGGGAGGCAGCAGUGGGGAAUUUUGCGCAAUGGGGGAAACCCUGACGCAGCAACGCCGCGUGGAGGAUGAAGUCCCUUGGGACGUAAACUCCUUUCGACCGGGACGAUUAUGACGGUACCGGUGGAAGAAGCCCCGGCUAACUUCGUGCCAGCAGCCGCGGUAAUACGAGGGGGGCAA